CAUAGCUAGACGUAUCGUAAAUUACAAUAAUUGUUAUUUAAGAAAAUUAUAAUUAAUUAAAACAAAAAUGUCCAAGAAAUUUGCUAUCGUAACUUUAAUAGUGCUAUUAAUAGCUCUGUUUGAAAUGGUGCAAUGUCUAGAUACAUAUCCUUCUAGAAUUGGCGUUAAAAAGGUUGACAAUAAUUGUGCUUAUCUUGAUCAUACUGGCAAGUGUGUUCCUAAACAGAAAAAAUCAUUAACUAGACGAAUGGGUAAUGAAAUUAAAACAUUACCAAAGGAGAGUAAAUAUGCUGUUAAAAAAGACGAUAGUCCCAGCUGGUUAGAAAGAUUGUUUGGCAAGGGGUCCUCAUAAGAAUCUAACAAAAAUUAUUUAAUAAUACAAACGUUUCAAAUAAAAUUAAAUUCAAUAAAAAAAAAAUAAUAUAAAAAAA